CACUCUUACCCUGAGAGACUAGUGCGCAGCAGAAGCUCUGAUAUAGUGUCUUGUGUGCGGCGGCCCAUGAGUGACCCCAGCUGGAACCGACGUCCAGGGAAUGAAGAACUUCCACCAGCUGCAGCCACUGGUGCUACUUCUUUGGUGGCUGCACCUCACUCGUCAUCUUCGUCCCCGAGUAAGGACUCUUCAAGAGGAGAGACUGAGGAGCGCAAGGACAGUGACGAUGAGAGGUCAGACAGGAGCAGGCCUUGGUGGAGAAAGCGUUUUGUAUCAGCUAUGCCUAAAGACGAGCCCAGCCCUAGGCUCAGUGCACAAGCUCAGGUUGCGGAAGACAUUCUGGACAAAUACCGAAAUGCCAUUAAACGGACCAGCCCCAGUGAAGGAGCACUGGCAAAUGAUGAGAGUACAGAGGUCAUGGGUGAUGGUGAAAGUGCUCACGAUUCUCCUCGUGAGGAGCUGCAGAACAUGUCAGCUGACGACCUCCCAGACUCUGCGAGCCAAGCAGCUCACCCUCAGGACUCUGCCCUCUCUUACAGAGAUGUGAAAAAGAAGCUGAGGCUCGCACUUUGCUCUGCAGACUCUGUGGCCUUCCCCAUGCUGACUCAUUCAACAAGGAACGGACUGCCAGAGCACACAGACCCGGAAGAUAAUGAAAUUGUGUGCUUCUUAAAAGUUCAAAUAGCUGAAGCAAUUAACUUACAAGAUAAGAGCUUAAU
rnacentral:lncRNA from 1 species